GGCACCAGCUGCCACCUUUCCUUUAAAGAGCUGAAGGGAGGGAAUAACACCGAGGGAUCCCAUGUCACCAUUAGAUUAAGGAAUAAAUUGCAUGGAAAUACAGAUUUACCAAACAAAAACAUCGACAGAAAAAAAGGGAGGGGAACAAACGAACGGAAGAAAUAAGAGAGGCAGCUCAAGGAAUAACAUUUGUAGUCGUGCCCGGCAAGCUGCUUGUUCGGCAUAAAUCAAUUCAAACAGACAUCUCAGUCUGCAACUAAAGACCUGCUUUCGGUCUUCUUAACCCUGGACAACGGGAACGGGUGAUGAUACGGAAGAAAGGAUGCUAAAACUGAGAAGAAAGGGAUAGACUGUUAAUGGAGUGAGUGCAUGAAGAUUUAAACAGAGAGAGAGAGAGGGAGAGGUGUUUCCCCGCUGCACGUUUCGCUUGGAUGAAUAGACUUGUUUCGUGUAGGGAAUAAAAGUAAAAGGUUAACACGAGCUUCAAGAAAUAGAAAUGCUUAUUUACCAGGAAAAUAUUUUUUGAUAUCAGACCUGUAACACCUGUGUAAAUAACGAGAAUAAUUUAUUUGAGGAACAAGGAUAUCAGAGGUGCAACUUAGGUGAUUUAUUCUGUUUUUCGUAGGCUAGUCUUCUGUAUCACCAGAGGAACUGAACUACGCACUAUAGCACAGUUGCGUUGUUUUCAACUAGCAGGUGUUGUAGCGAGAAUAGCCUAUAUUGCAUUAUUCAUAACUGUAGCCAUUUUAUAAAAAAAAAACAACUAAAUCUUGGGUUUCUGCACAGUCACUUGGACCUACGCCAAGAGGAUCCCUCAGUUCAGUCAGAAAACAGGCAAUUGCACGUAGCGUUUUUGUGCAGUUUGUGUGUUCAUGUGUGUGUGUUCAGUGACACGCACACUGCACGCACGCGAACAGAGCCAGACCCAAAGCGAGCUCCUCCUCCCCCCCUCCCCGCUCGGUUCUCUCUCCUCCUCUCCCUCCCCCUGCUCCUCUAUGCUCAGUUCGGUGUGUGUCUCCUCUUUCAAAGGGCGCAAGGGUGGGAACAAGUCGUCCAACAAAGCAUGUUACAGCGCAGACAUGACUUGUCCGUCAGACAGCGAGAAAAUAGUGAUAAACUGCGGGGGGAUUCGGCACGAGACGUACCGCAGCACACUGAAGACGCUGCCUGGGACGCGCUUGUCCUGGCUCACGGAGCCAGAUGCGUUCAGUAACUUUGACUAUGACCCCAAAUCAGACGAGUUCUUCUUUGACCGCCACCCCAACACCUUUGCUUUCAUCCUCAACUAUUACCGCACAGGGAAGUUGCAUUGUCCUAACGAUGUCUGCGGUCCUCUCUUCGAGGAGGAGCUCGCGUUCUGGGGUAUCGACGAGACGGACGUGGAGGCUUGCUGCUGGAUGAACUACCGACAGCAUCGGGACGCCGAGGAAGCGCUGGACAGCUUCGAAACGCCCGAACCGGAGCCGCCAGAGGACGACCCGGCGCUCACGGGUGGUGCGGACGGGGAUUUGAAGAGGUUGUGUCUGCAGGAGGAUGGCCGCAACCGCAGCUGGUGGAGUACCUGGCAGCCCCGCAUCUGGGCGCUGUUUGAGGACCCCUACUCCUCCAAAUACGCCAGGUAUGUGGCGUUCGGCUCGCUCCUGUUCAUCCUCAUCUCCAUCUCAACAUUUUGCUUGGAGACACACGAGGCCUUCAACACCAUCUACAAUAAGACAGAGAACGUGACGGUGGGGAACGUCACACGGGAGGAGAUUGUGUAUGAGGUAGUGACUGACAACUGGCUGACCUACGUGGAGGGCAUGUGCGUCAUCUGGUUCACCAUCGAGGUGUUCGCCCGCGUCAUCUUCUGCCCGGACAAGGCGGAGUUCUUCAAGAGCUCGCUGAACAUCAUCGACUUUGUAGCCAUCCUGCCCUUUUACCUGGAGGUGGGGCUGAGCGGCCUCUCCUCGAAAGCCGCGAAAGACGUGCUGGGCUUUUUGCGCGUGGUGCGAUUCGUCCGAAUCCUGCGAAUCUUCAAGCUCACACGUCAUUUCGUGGGGCUGAGAGUGCUGGGUCACACGCUCCGUGCCAGCACCAAUGAAUUCUUGCUCCUCAUCAUCUUCCUCGCUCUGGGGGUGCUCAUCUUCGCCACCAUGAUCUACUACGCAGAGCGCAUCGGCGCCGACCCGGCCGACCCCACGGCGAGCGCCCACACCACCUUCAAAAACAUCCCCAUCGGCUUCUGGUGGGCAGUGGUCACAAUGACAACACUGGGCUAUGGUGACAUGUAUCCAGAGACAUGGUCUGGUAUGUUAGUGGGUGCCCUGUGUGCCCUGGCGGGCGUGCUGACCAUCGCCAUGCCUGUGCCCGUCAUUGUAAACAACUUCGGCAUGUACUACUCUCUGGCCAUGGCCAAGCAGAAGCUGCCCAAGAAGAAGAACAAGCACAUCCCUCGGGCUCCGCAGCCUGGAUCGCCCAACUACUGCAAGCCAGACGCCCUGGCCAUGGCAACUGCCUCACCGCACAGGAUCUUGGGUAAUGUGCUGGGCAGUAUGGUGGUCUCUGGAAGCAUGGCAGGAGACUGUCCUCUUGCACAGGAGGAAAUCAUAGAGAUUAACAGAGCAGACUCAAAACAGAAUGGAGAUGCCGCAAACGCAGCUCUGGCUAAUGAGGACUGUCCCACCAUAGAUCAGGUGCUGGGGCCAGAUGACAGGAGUCCGGCCACCGGUGGGCUGGGGACAUGCACGGGGCGUGAACGUUACCCCCACGAUAGGGCCUGCUUCCUUCUCAGUACCGGAGAGUUCCGCACCACAGACAGCAAUGUCAGGAAAGAAGCUGCAGGCGCCAACCCAGUCUGCCCCCCAGCAGAGGAGUGGUUCAAGCCGGAUGGGCCACUGCUACAGCAGGACCUCAAUGCCAAUUCUGCCUCCUCUUGGAUCAAACCAUAAUGAAUCCGAGAGAACUAUUCUGAAAGCCCAGUGCUUAUCAGAUAUAUGCAAAAAGAAGCAGUAACUGUGAACUAAGACUAGAACAGAAAAUCCACUUCUUCCUUCACAAAUACAUUCCCGAAUGAACACCUGAGCCCCCGAACCAGUGUCAGCUCCUGUACAAGUGCAUUUUAGUUUGUAUUCCCAUCUCAUGGCAUCAUUAAUCUUAUUUAAUCAUCUUAGUUUUGCAUUAUUAAAGAGCAGAUUAGUUGUUUUUCUCCCCUUUGCUGUUGCGUUAACCUUAGUUCUACCCCCCUCUGCUGGUUUCACGGGGGAUGACGUAGCAUUCACUGUUGUUGAUCAUUAGCACACCUUUGUCACUUUAGAAUACAGAUUUUAGCCCUUAUUGUUUACCUGUUAUAUUUAAGAUAAAAAAAAAGAUUCUUUAGGCAUUCAUUUGAACAGACUCAGUCCAGAAGGAGUGAUUUCUUGUUCACUGAACACUGAUCAGAGCAAAGAGAAAGAAGCUAAUGCUAAGAAGUCUGCCUGCUGCAGCAAUGCAUGUUUCCACAUAUUCAAGAUAGCUAGCACUUAGCAUCCCUAGUGCAUUUUGUGGUUUUGCUGUGUGUAGUCUAUCUGUUAAAGUGUAGUCAGUGUGAACAGAGUGGAUGGGAUGGCUCCACUUUAAUCCCUUUAUCUCAGCUCUAAGGUUUCGAUGUGAAAGAGACAGGCCUGCCACUAGUUAGCUUAGUUAGCGAAUGCCCUGGUAAAAGCAGAGGCUGCAUGUGAUCACGGAGGACAGUGUAAAUAAUUCCCUGCAUGUGGAGUUAACAGCACAAAAACUAUCGUUUGAUUCAAAUGAGACAUUCGGAAUGUGGAGAGAAGGUUGAGUUCAAACGAUUUUGCGACAUUAUCCAAAAUCCUCUCUGUUUCUGACUUACGCUGCCCUGUCACUACUCAGGUAAAUCUCUUUUUGUUUGUCUAUACCAGUGCUUCCAAAAUGAUGUCAUUCGAAAUAGAGAGAGAGGCAGAUGAGAACACCCCCUUAAUGCGUGCAUUUGUGUAAAUAUGAAAUAAUCAUGUUUGAUCCUAACAUUGCAUUCAUUCCAAGUCUUCCUUUUCCACAGUGUCCUUCUUGCCCUUCAUUUCGUCAUUUCAUCCGUCACUUUCAUUUAUUCCCAACUCUUACUGCUUCCAAAUAACAACCAAAAAUGCCCGGAUGACAUUAUGAGAAACAGGAAAAAUAAGAGGGAUUUGUAAAAAAGAAAAAAAAAAAAGAAAAAACUGUAUAUGGAAUCAGGACGCAACCAAAUUCAGGAGAUGAAAGCAUGAGGGUCAGAUGCACAGAUUGUGUGUUUGGGGAACAGUUUUGGGAGGAUUGUCAACCAAUGAAGAAAGGCAUCGUGAAAUGGAGAACAGUUUGAGGAAGAAAGAAAAAAGCAAAGAGAGGAGGAAGGGAGCUGAACGCUUCUCAGUGUAAGAAUUGCUGAGCUUCUGAACUGCCACUUUUAUAAAGCUCCCCAACCGCAAAACCUGUCCAGAGGCAACCCCCAGGGUCACCGCAGGAUUAGAGACGGCGAAAGAGAGAAAACGAGAGAUGAAAGGAGUGCUUCGCUAAACCAACUUGAAGAAAACAUUGUAACACUAGUCUCUCCAUUUCUAAUUUUAACCCCCAACGUAGGUGCAAUAAACUGUCAAUAUCACGUUUUGGGAGGAUGUGGAUCACAUUCUUCCUACAGGGAUCGCUGCCCUUGGAAAACGGGUGGGAUUCGUCAUACAAACUGUAGUAUAUCCUGGCUCGAUCUGAUGGAAAUGGAUGCAAUUUUGAAGUGAUUUAUUUUUGUGGGGCGAUCCACCAUGAUAAUUGCAUCUGAAAGUGGACCAAAAACCCUCGAUCCAGUCUCAGAUACACAUAAUGUGUGGAAAAAACACCCAUCAUACCCUUCAACGCUAUGCAAUUCAAACACACAUUGACAGUCAGUUUCAUCAAACGCUUCAAUCGAACAGUUUAUCAGCCAAACUUUUUCUGCUCCUUUACCUUUUGGAGAUCUUGCACGUGCUUUAAAUGAAAAUAGACAGUGCCGCCAUCGGCCUGCCACAUUCCUAUACCGUACAGUUUCCCCAUUCAUCCAAUUGGAAAUCUUGUUCAGAGUGUCCUUCUCAGGGCUCAAAGAAAGGUGACUUUGUCCACUAUGAAGAAAAGAGCAUUAGCCUCUCUCUUUUCUCUCUCUCUCUUAGUUCAGCUCUCUGCGUCUCAGCAUUUCUGUUCAACUGUAGAUGAACUGCAUGGCAUGAAUAAAAAAAUAAAAUAAAAAAAACAGAGAGAAAGAUGAUAGAGAUCAUGCUGAGAGGAACAAGAGGAAACUGUAGACAGGACCACUUUGUUUGCACAGUAAAAAAUGGGUGACUAUGGAUCAGUGGAUGGGGUCACUUUCUUCACCUUCACGUGGGGAACAGAAAAUACAACAAGUGCAUGUUACCUGUUGAAGGACAGAGGGGUUUUUAAGUGGACUGGGUGAACUUUGAACAAAAGCUGAAAAAAAAGAGAAAAUGGAAAAACAAAUGCAUUUUUUUUCUCACUUUGUUUACCAGCAUGACUAAACUGCAUGACUUUGCAAGCCCUGAACCCCAAAUUAGAGGGCUUGAAAUCACUAAAUGCCGAAAUCAAAUGGAAACAAUAACAUUUUAUGCUAAAUGCUUCUAAAUUAUGAAAAAAAAAGAAUAUAUUUAAAAAAAGAGAGGCUCUUUAUUUUGUUUUUGAAUAAUAAAAAAAAAGAAUAAUGUAAAAAUAUAUAAGAUCGCAAGAUUCACACAGUUUUGUUGGGUAAAAGAGGAACAAACCCCACUCAGUCUAGCUGAGUGAUCUAGAACGAACUCCUUCAACUACGACUGCUCCCUCAAUGGUUUCGAAUCACACAUCUUCCCUUCUCUUUGUCCAUCAUUUCACCCUUUACUUGAACUUUCCUGGCUCUUUGCUCUGCCCUUCACAGUCUCCCUCAGUCAUGGCAGCCUCCAGCAGUGGCGCGACAGCUCCUCUGGAGACCUCCGACACCUACAGGGCUCUUUUCUUUUGAUGGUUAUGGGUCUGAAAAGCAAGGUGGAAGGGGAUUUUAAGACUGUGGGUGAAGUUGUCUUUUUAAGUUUAAUCCUGAUGGAAAGUUUUGGCUUGCUUUGCGAUGCUUGCGCUUUUUAUUUCAUCCACAUUCCACGGGUAAAUCAAAGCUUUAUCCAUCGGAAGUGAGUUUGCAUCCACUUAAUAUCAGUCUAAUGAAUAUUAGCGUUGUGUGAACUGCUGUGUCACGAGACCCUGAGCACUUACUGUACAUCGCAAAGCACUAUUAUUCAAUCAGGAAGCCAUAAUGUGAGAGUAGCGCCACCAUAUGAGCUCAAAGGUGCUCAGGAGACCGUGUUGAUUCAGAAACCUGAACAUGGUUUUGUAGUUCUUAAGUUGUGUUGAGUUUGUUGAAAAUGUUGACAUUUAUUCUGUAGUUCAUUUUCUGGUGGUACAGAGCAUUGCAAGGUUUUAACAAGAUUUUGUUACAGUCACUUAAUAUUUGUCUUAUUUUGAAAGUUUUAAAGAUUUGCAUAUGCUGAGCACCCACUAAAACCAGCCAUGCCAUACCAAAAUGGACUUCCUUAUUAACUUAGCAGCAGACUUCUGAUAUUAGCAUCAGUAUUAGCAUUAGCCUGUGUGAGAGGAGGCCAUGAUUCCACCAGUGUCGCUUUUAACUCGUAGAUUACACGUGUGAGUAACUGUUUGACUGUUUAAAACUUUUGGUGUCUUCAACAAGAUACCAAGCACUGGUUACGUUACAAAAGUUGGUUAGUCUGUUUAGGUGUUGUUUACGUUGAUUUAAAGUGUAAUUUGCUGUCUUGAAACACAUCGCUAAUCGUUCAGAGUCAGAUGUAAGCUUAGUUUAGUAACUACCUAUGCAACACCUAAGCAAGACCUUAGCAGCUCACACACACAAACACACACACACACACACACACACAUGCCAUGUGCUCAGGCCAGCUGGCUGGUGUCUGUUUACCGGUGCUGUGUGUCCAGGGAGGGAAAAUGACACAGAUGCAGCUCCAUCACCACAAGAGCCAGCAUUAUCUGCUGACCGUGUAGUUUUUUCUUCAUAUGUUAGCAGCUGGUCAGAGUAGCUUGAAGGUGCGACCGAUGUGUGCAGCUGUAGUAGCCAUGUCGCUUUCUUUAGUGGUGCACUAUCUUCUUGAUUAAUACAUCAGGCCUGUUUUUUGUUAUUUGCAAUGUCUUUUCUGCAUGCUUCUCAUGGUGCACGAAGACACUCAUGCACUUUUAGAGUUAACCUAUAUGUUUAUAUGUAAGCAUACACUCAUCUCAAAGGGUUUGCAGGACACCUGAAUUGUUUCACAUGUGCUAUUCAGUUCCAGAUUGCAUUUGCUGACCGGUUAAGAUGAUGUGUACCUCUCUGGUCGUUUAUAAAUCCGAUUGGAUGGUGUUUUGGAGCAAUAAUGCUAGAGGGCCACUCUUUCCUCAUUGUCGUCAUUAGCAAUUGGAGGACAUGUUCAUCUCAUCCCUAAUAAGAAAUCCUGUGUGCCUGAAACUGUUCCCUGAAUGUGUACGCAAACCGGCCACAUCAAUUGAAGAUGCUCUCUCUGCAAAUGCUUCCCAUGAGAGUUUGUCUUGGCGUGAAUGAGACUGCAACCCCUCCAGAUGGCUGACAGCUCAACAUACCUUUACUUGAAACCCAAAUGUAAAACAUAUCAGAGAGGAGCAGAACAAAGCCAGAAUCAGUCUUCACGCUUUCUCAACUUCCUGUUUGCAUUCCACCCCCCUCAUCUGUUCCCUCUCCUUCUCUAUUUUUAAGGAAGAAGCUUUUUUUUGCAUCCCUUGUUCUUGUGUUUUUCUAUCAUAUUGUUUGAAGUUGACUUGUUUUGCAUGCAUGGAAUACAAUGAGGACAUAACUUGUGAAUAAUUUAUGAAUGGCCAGAAUGAGGUAAUCAUCUCUUUCACCUGGGCUCUCUACUCUGCAACUUCUCUUUCUGAGAUCAUUAGAGAGGAAGAAAGAGCAUAUGUUGUUCCUGGUUUCCCUCACAUCCCUAUUUCUCCAAAAUGUAGCCAUGCCAAAUAUAAAUUAAGGCUGUACUCUAGCCAUUCCGAAAUACUCUGUGUUUUAUUUAUAUAUUUAUAUAUUGUUUUAAAGAUUAUAUUUAUCUGUAUAUAUCUGUAAUGAAUAUUCAUCAGAGCUUCCACAGACUCAGAGCUGAACAGAUGCAGCAGAUGUCGACAAAAAACAGCCUGCAGGAACUCAGUUUUCACUGCAUGUGUCUGUGCAUUUAUUCUUGUAUAGUUUGACCCAAUAUGCACUACGUGUCCUUUUCUACUUUAGUUAUUUAAUGUAGCUUGUUUAAAGGGGGGAUUCAUUGCACUAUCACAGCUAAUGGAGCGGCUGUGUCUACUGCUGAGCGCAAGCCUAACCAUACACCCCCCCUAAGUUAAGAAAGAGAGAAAGAGAGAGAGAGUUAGAAAGAGAGGCCAGUGAGAAAGAGAAGGUUCCUAAAAGAAAUGGAUGAGUUCUAUGCUACUAAGAUUGAUGCUGGAUACAAUUUUAUUGUCAUACAAAAAAGGGGAAAAAAAUAUCAAGAACUGUAUAAAAUAUAUUUCAAUGGAAUGUUUAUUAUUUACCUUUUAUAUUUUUGAAAUGUAUAAAGAAAAAAAAUUAAUAAACUGUAAUAAUUUAACAGAGUUUGUGAACACUGAGACUUAAAAAUGUUAUAUUACUAAAAGUAUGGACGUUUGAACGUGAAUGCUAACCUACCUGAUCAAAUCUUCUCCAUUACAGAUAGGGAAAAAAUAAAAUAAAAAAACAAUUAGAAAAAUGAAAUACAAUUUAAAAAGAAAAAGUUCAAUAAAAUCAAUAAAAAUGUUAAAACCUCAUGCCAAAAUUUUCAA